AACGCACCUUGCGCUCCUUGGUAUUCCGAGGAGCAUGCCUGUUUGAGUGUCAUUAAAUUCUCAACCCCACCGAUUUGCUUCGGGGGGAUUGGACUUGGAGCGUGCUGGCGAAGGUCGGCUCCUCUUUAAAUGCAUCAGUGGAGAGAAACUUGCCCCAGUGUGAUAAUCCUGUUGCGCUGUGGUGGGUGAAAGUCUGCUUCCAACCGUCCCUCCGGGGACAUACGUCAUCUUAUUUUGACCUCAAAUCAGGUAGGACUACCCGCUGAACUUAA
rnacentral:misc_RNA from 1 species